rnacentral:tRNA from 2 species
GUUCCUGUAGUUGAAUUUUGAUCAACAGCGGCUUUUCAGGCCGCGGGUCUUGGAGAAAAGCCAAGCGGGAAUU